CUGUAAUGAUGAGUUUAGGACACCUUUGCAUUAAUGAUGAAAAGAAUCUAGCAUUUUCUGAGCAGC